UCCCGGAUGUAGCGGCGGACGGGUGAGUAACACGUGGGUAACCUGCCUGUAAGACUGGGAUAACUCCGGGAAACCGGAGCUAAUACCGGAUAGUUCCUUGAACCGCAUGGUUCAAGGAUGAAAGACGGUUUCGGCUGUCACUUACAGAUGGACCCGCGGCGCAUUAGCUAGUUGGUGAGGUAACGGCUCACCAAGGCGACGAUGCGUAGCCGACCUGAGAGGGUGAUCGGCCACACUGGGACUGAGACACGGCCCAGACUCCUACGGGAGGCAGC
rnacentral:rRNA from 1 species